CAGGAAAAGCGUUUUGUUUUGUUUUGAUAACGUAUGCACUUUUUUCUUGGUUCUAGCCAUGUGAUCUAUCUGGACCUGACUCAGAAGAACCAAACUUCACAGAGGAGGAAACGGUCAGUGGUGAGGGUAAGGGUGACAACCAAGAUCAUCACCUCAACAUGCAAGAUUCUUUGUAGAAGAGGAACACUGCUGUAAAUCACCUUCCAGCUAAACAAAGUGCUGAUCAUUCUCUCGCUUUAAUCAACAUCACGUCCACAGUGCUCACGUGGGCAUUGGCAAGAAACAAACGAUCAGAGCAGCGUUGGAAGGGAUGUAAUCAGCAGCCUCUGAAGCAUAGUAAUGAAUUUUAAUCUGUUACAGAUUAACAGGUUUCUGUAAAACCACAGAAACUUGUUCUCUCCUCCAUCCUCUCUUUACCCAGAAAAGUUUUAAUGGGGGAGUUCUCAUUAACAUUCACAAAUAGAAGGAUUAUACACCUUUGCUGGA
rnacentral:lncRNA from 1 species